AUUGAACGCUGGCGGCAGGCCUAACACAUGCAAGUCGAGCGGUAGAGAGGUGCUUGCAUCUCUUGAGAGCGGCGGACGGGUGAGUAAUGCCUAGGAAUCUGCCUGGUAGUGGGGGAUAACGCUCGGAAACGGACGCUAAUACCGCAUACGUCCUACGGGAGAAAGCAGGGGACCUUCGGGCCUUGCGCUAUCAGAUGAGCCUAGGUCGGAUUAGCUAGUUGGUGAGGUAAUGGCUCACCAAGGCGACGAUCCGUAACUGGUCUGAGAGGAUGAUCAGUCACACUGGAACUGAGACACGGUCCAGACUCCUACGGGAGGCAGCAGUGGGGAAUAUUGGACAAUGGGCGAAAGCCUGAUCCAGCCAUGCCGCGUGUGUGAAGAAGGUCUUCUGAUUGUAAAGCACUUUAAGUUGGGAGGAAGGGUCGUUACCUAAUACGUGACGAUUUUGACGUUACCGACAGAAUAAGCACCGGCUAACUCUGUGCCAGCCGCCGCAGUAACAC
rnacentral:rRNA from 1 species